rnacentral:rRNA from 1 species
GUGGGGAAUAUUGCACAAUGGGCGCAAGCCUGAUGCAGCAAUACCGCGUGUGUGAAGAAGGCCUGAGGGUUGUAAAGCACUUUCAGUAGGGAGGAAAAGCUGUUGGUUAAUAACCAACAGCCGUGACGUUACCUACAGAAGAAGCACCGGCUAACUCCGUGCCAGCAGCCGCGGUAAUACGGAGGGUGCAAGCGUUAAUCGGAAUUACUGGGCGUAAAGCGUGCGUAGGCGGCUUGGUCAGUCGGAUGUGAAAGCCCAGGGCUCAACCUUGGAACUGCAUUCGAUACUGCUAGGCUAGAGUGUAAGAGAGGGUGGUGGAAUUUCCGGUGUAGCGGUGAAAUGCGUAGAGAUCGGAAGGAACAUCAGUGGCGAAGGCGGCCACCUGGCUUAACACUGACGCUGAGGCACGAAAGCGUGGGUAGCAAACAGG